GCACUGCUGACGUGUCCCAAACUGGACAAAACAGCUGUCCAGUGC
rnacentral:hammerhead_ribozyme from 1 species